rnacentral:pre_miRNA from 13 species
UCCAAAAGCAAGUGAGCCACUGACUAACGCACAUUGCGCUGUGUUUGAAUACCACUGUGCGUGUGACAGCGGCUAACUUGCUCUUAGGACGGCACCUG